rnacentral:misc_RNA from 1 species
GCUGAAGAACGCAGCGAAAUGCGAUACUUGGUGUGAAUUGCAGAAUCCCGUGAACCAUCGAGUCUUUGAACGCAAGUUGCGCCCGAAGCCAUCAGGUUGAGGGCACGUCUGCCUGGGCGUCACAUAUCGUUGAUCGAUGCCUAUCGCAUUGCGAUAGGACUUAGGGCGAAUGAUGGCUUCCCGUGAGCGUUGUUGCCUCGCGGUUGGUUGAAAAUCGAGUCCUUGGUAGGGUGUGCCAUGAUAGAUGGUGGUCGAGUUAGCACGAGACUGAUCAUGUGCAUGCUCCCCAAAAUAUGGCCUCUGUGACCCACACGCGUCUUUUGACGCUCAUGACGAGACCUCAGGUCAGGCGGGGCUACCCGCUGAAUUUAAGCAUAUCAAUAAGCGGAGGA